AAUUUGGUGGCCCCUCCCAGACUUGAACUGGGGACCAAUCGAUUAUGAGUC
rnacentral:tRNA from 1 species